GGAUGGGAAGUCACCAGUCCAUGAGGCAGAGCAGGCCCAGACCCAGGUCUCCAGACUCACAUGCAACCUUUAAUCUCCCCCCUGUGGAUUCUGAUGCCUCCUCCUACCCCCUGGGAACUUGGAGUCAGAGCCAAAGGAGAAGGGGAGUGGCCUUGGCCCCUGCAGCUCCAGGCACCAAGAGCUGGUUACCUUUCUCUAUCCUCCUCCCGGAAGAGAACAGAGAAUUGGCCUGGACCCCAGCGGCCCCUCCUCCAGGGCAGAGUCAGUCGGUACCUACCCACACCUGGUACCUCCCUUACUGGCAACAGAGUCCAGAGCUAGUAACAGCCACAGCAGGGACAAAGCCACCUGGGCAACUGCUGGAGACACUGGGAGUCGCAGGAAGGGAAGGCCUGGGAAGGCCUUGAACACCUGCCGCCUCUACCCCUCCUGGGAGAAGGUCCCAACACCCCACAGAUGGGCUCAGGGCCCCCCUGUAACAUCUCCACCGCCGCCCACCGCUGCAACGUGGGUGGCCUGCAGGCUGCAGUGAUCAUCAUCCCAACCCUGCUCUCCUCAUCCACUCUGCUAAUCGUCAGCUUCAUCAUAUGGAAAACUUGCCGCCGGUUGUCUCGAGUCACCCACCCCCGCCUGCCAUCCACAUGAGGGGCCCAGGAAUUUCAAUUGUGGAAUGUGACACCCAGAAAUGGAGCUGAGUGAUAUUCAUGCCCGUGAACCUCUGCUGCUGAGGCCCCUGGAGCUACCCUGCUCCUUUCAAAGAUCCAUUCAUCAAUAAUCUUUUGAUUCUGAAAGUCCUUGCAAUCAAUUCCCCAAACUUUUAAUUUUCAUUUCUUUCAGAAUCAGUUUGUUACUUUUAAAGAAAAAACUUUAGCUAAAAUUAACAGUGAAGAGAGAUGAAGCUAUACAGUGGGGUAUACAGUCAGCAUGGUCCAGUGUAGGUAUAAUAUGACCCACAUAUGUAAUUUUGUAUUUUCUAGUAGCCACAUUUUAAAAAUUGAAGAGAAGUUAGUGAAAUGAAUAUUAACAAUGUGUUUCAUUUCACCCAAUAUAGAUAAAUAUUAUUUAUCAUUUCAGUAUCUAGUCAAUAUUUUUAAAUUGCUAAUGAGAUGUUUUACAUUCUUCUCUUUGAACCAUGUCUUUGAAAUAUGGGGUGUAUUUUACACAUAUAGCAUAUCUCAAAUAAGACUGGCCACACUUUGAGUGCUCCAUAACCACAGGAGGCUGGUCGCCUGCAUAAUGGAUAGCACAGAUUAAGAUAUUCAAGGUGAUGAAGGACCUGCUAAGAAGUCCUGGCCUCAUUCUGAAAGCAGUGGGCAUCCCCUGAAGAGAUUCAAAUCUAGAAGUAACAUGAUAAAAUAUAUAUGUAACUUUAGGAAGAUCACUCUGACUUCCACUUAUAGAAUGGACAGGAAAGGAAUUGAAGCUCAAGUUAGGGAAAUCAGUUAGGAGGAGCUGAAGAGAGAAUGAGAGGUAAAGAUGUUGAUGAUAGACUUUGGUGGCAGCAGCUGAAAUAUUAAGAUGCAGUUCACCUCAAGGGAGGCUAAGGAGGCAGAAGUGAUGCACCUCAUCUUCACUGCUAACCCUACACAUGACAUCUAUUUCCCACCUGCACACUUUGUGUAUCUCCUUCCCAUCACUUCAUCUCACAUAUCUUCCCCUAUUCUCUCUGGCAACCAAAGAGGCAAAUCUAUGAUAUUUAAGGCAUA